AGUAAAUAGAUACCCUGGUAGUCCACGCCGUAAACGAUGAGUACUAGGUGUAGGAGGUAUCGACUCCUUCUGUGCCGCAGUUAAACACAAUAAGUACUCCGCCUGGGAAGUACGGUCGCAAGAUUAAAACUCAAAGGAAUUGACGGGGGCCCGCACAAGCAGCGGAGCAUGUGGUUUAAUUCGAAGCAACGCGAAGAACCUUACCUAGACUUGACAUCUCCUGAAUAGCGUAGAGAUACGUGAAGCCCUUCGGGGUCAGGAAGACAGGUGGUGCAUGGUUGUCGUCAGCUCGUGUCGUGAGAUGUUGGGUUAAGUCCCGCAACGAGCGCAACCCUUAUCAUUAGUUGCUACCAUUAAGUUGAGCACUCUAGUGAGACUG
rnacentral:rRNA from 1 species